GGAAGUCACGCAGAAGCAGAUUAAUGUCCCUGAUUCUGGACACAGUCACAUAAAGGCUCGUCCCGUGAUGCAGAGGCAGCAUACUGUUAGAGAGUGAGUCAGAAUAACACCAGCAGCACAGACAGGACUGAGGAGAGAGAAGGACACAGAGAGAUGGAGGCAUCUCGCAGGUCAUCAGGCCGUAGAAGAUAGCUGAGCAGACCAGAGGGACGCAGAAAUAGAAGCCAAACAACCACCAGUCCUUCACAUCCCGACCCUUGAUCGUUUUGUUUUCUGAGUCGAUCCUGGAGCCUCCUCACCACUGAUCUGCUGUGACGCUACAGAGGUUUAAACAUCUGGCAGCAACACGCAACCUGUGUUCAUCCUGACUGGAAUAAGUUUGUGGCAGCAACACGUGGUGCAUGUUGUGUAUAUACAUCUGUGACACAUGUGUUAGUCUGAACCAGUCAUACAGAUGUUCCUGUCUGUCUGUCUGACUGAAUACAGCAGAAGCACAAGCCCUGACAUUCUCUCAGACUGUUCAGUUUAAAUCCAUCUAACCUUUGACCAAGUUGAGCUUCAUUCCGUGUCGGAGCUAAAUUUGGUUUUACAAGACGUCCAUGUUAUCUCAGUCACUGAGUGUGUGGUGAUGUUCAGCACCUCAGUGUGUGUGUGUUUACUGCAGUAAACACAGCUAUGAGGAUGAAGCUCUACGUGACUUGAACCAUGCAGGGCAGGCACAUAAUGAGAGCUCCCCGUCUUUGUGAGGACCCUAACCCUGACUCUGUCCUCAGUGGUGGAAUGUAAGGUACUUUGUCUGAGUGUUUCUUGUUCUGCUGCUUCAUGC